AUGGUUUUUCACGAGGAGGAAAUAGAAACAGGCAUCAAAUUCAAUCCUGAGGAGCUAUGCCCCCCCAAAAGACAAACUGAACUCAUGCAAGCAGUUUAUGGAAUUAAUCUGCCGCAAGCAAAUUCUAAGAAAGAUUUACUGUCAAUUGCACCAAGGAAGCAAAAGAGAGUGUCGUUCAACCUGAAUCCAAACCCUGUUGCAGCUGCAGAAAGGAUGGAACCCACUUGUCUGAAACCAUCACUCAAACAUAGAGGCCAAACUGAAAAAGUUCAACACACAACUAUGUUGGCUAACAAGGCAAGUCAAGCAAAAUGUCAGGCAACUUAUAGUGUUCAGAAGCCGGUUGAGCAAGGAAGCAAAAGUGGCACUUUCAAGCAAGCAAGUUCAGUGGGAAGUUUCCCACCACAGGAGUGA
rnacentral:rRNA from 1 species